AAAACAAUAAAAAAGAAAUUUCCAUCAUUGUUUUAUUGUAAUAGGUUUUGCAUAAUCAAAAAAUAUAAUUUGAAUAUUUUACAUCUAUUAUACAUCUCUGAAAGCUUAAUUUGCAUACGAGAAAAUAUAUAUCACACAAGACUAUCAAUGGAGGGAUUAGUAUUACUACAAUAGUUGAGGGUCUGGACGGGAUAUUUCAUCUUUUUAUUUUUUAAUUGUUAAGGCCAUUUUUCUCUAAACUUCAUUUAUUUGGCCCAUUAUCCUCUAUUCUUUAUAUUCAAACACUCCAUUAUUAUUUAUUCUUUCUUAUUUCCUUCCUAUUUUUCUAUUCUCUUCUCUCCCAAUUUUUUUCUAUUCUGUAAACCCCUUCCAGACCCCUAUAAUAAGUCUAAUUCAAAUUAUUAUGUAAGUGUAUUGCAAUACAAGUGUAUGCUCAUAUAAAACAAGUUAAUUUUAUAUUCUGUCAGAAUUAUCAGUCAGCUUAUAUGUAUCUUUUAAUAUAUUGCUAAUUUACUAAAAAAUCAACAAAUAAUUUCUCAAAAUAUUAAAAAUUAUAUAUAAACUAAGUAAAGGUAUUAAUAUUUUCUGAACUGUUCUCCUAAAUUAAUAAUAUAUUACUCAUAUUUGUUCUUGAUGUAUUGUUGUACUUUCACAGCCAGAAAUGAAACACAAAUAAUAAUAUAUACUUAGAAUACAAAAUUUUAAAUAUAAAAAAAAAAAUGUAUACUAAAAUUUCUGAACAAAAUAUAUAUGAAAAAAUGUUAAAAUCACGCACUAUAGGUAUAUAGCUGAUAAAUUCCAGUUAUUAAAAAGGAAAUUAUUAGGAAAGGAAUAUGUUUUCUCAAUAUACAAAAAUCUUAUGUACAACCCAUGACCUAUGAUAUGUUACAAAUAUCAGACUUGACACUAAUCUUUUACCUAGGGUUCAUAAAUGGGUACAUAAAUAAUAGACCUAAUCGCUAUUUUUGGAUACCCUAACACUUGACCUAUUGUCAUCAUACGAAAUCACUUUUGCUCUUUGCAGUCAGACCUUAACUCUUGUGUCAUCGAAAUUUUACGAAAAUAUGUAUAGCAACCAAUCAAAGGCAGACUAAUAGUCAAAAGGCGUGUCUUAAGAUGUUUUUUCUACAACCUAUUAUAAAACAAGAUAUGUACAAAAGUAGUAACAACCCAUUAUCACAUGACAUUUGGUGAUGAAUAUCUGCAUAAUUUACAUAAAAUGGUUUAUUUAUUCAAAUAAGAUAAAAUACAGAUGCAUAUAUAAUGAAACAAAUCUUAAUGGAUGAGAUUGACUCAAUGUGUGUUGACCUCUUACUAGACAAAGGAACUUCUCUUGUUUGCACCAGGGCUUCCAAAAAAAAUUUGAGCCAGCCGGACAUUUCAUAUCUGAUCCCGAUUUUAAUCCCUUAAGACUUAGUCACAAAAGGCAAUUAUGGUAAUCAGAUGGCCAUUCCAAUGAUUGACAUUACAUUAAAAAAACGAUUUUAAACUUUACUUUGAUAUGAUUUGAAUUUGAUGUUCGGAUGUAAAUGUUAAAUUGGCAGUGCAUCAUUCAAAGUGUGCACAUCAGCGUGCUCAUAUCUGCCUUAAACUUUUUAUUUGUGCAAAAUGAUAUUGUCAAAAUCUAUAGUUUCGUUUUCACAUUGUUCUAACCGGAUGUUGACUUGACAAUGGUAAAACAUGGACCAUAAACGGAUACAUAAAAUCUGUGUACGUUUACAAAGCACGACUGAGAGAAGAAGCUCUUUCCACGUUAUUUCUUCAACAAAAUACUUGAAUUGAACGUUAGAUACAGGUAUCAAUGAUAAUUUUAGCAUUUUUGAAGAAAUGUAGGAUGCAUUAUCAAAUUUCCCAACUGUGCACAUGCGCACACGUGUUAUCUGGCUAUAGUUCAUACGACGUAGUUCUGACGAUUUUUUAUUUAAAACCUUUUUAAAUUUUUCAUCAAAUCAUGUUGAUAAACUAAUUUCUAAUAAUUUUAAUCUUUUGGACUAAAUCAAUUAGAAACAAACCGCUGAAAUGUAAAAAAAUAAUUCUGAAUAAACCGAUCAAUUUACACGAUGUCCGGUACUGAACAUAGUUCACCUGUCAC
rnacentral:lncRNA from 1 species